GAUUAGAUACCGUCGUAGUCCUUUCCUUAAACGUUGCAAACUUGGGAUCGGUCAGUUUCGAGAAAUCAAAGUCUUUGUGUUCCGGGGGGAGUACAUUCGCAAGGCUGAAACUUAAAGGAAUUGACGGAGAACCACCACCAGACGUGGAUUGUGUGGCUUAAUUCGACUCAACACGGGAAAUUUUACCAGCACAGGACACGGUCAGGAUUGCCAAGUUAAAGCCUUUGCUUGAUUCCGUGAAGGGUGGUGCAUGGCCGCUUCUGGUUGGUGAAUGUGAUUUUUCUGCUUAAUUGCGAUAACGAACGAGAUCUCUGCCAAUUACUAGUUACUUAUUGGGAUUAUGCGGAACACAUUGAAACGAGAGCCCAAAGCAGGUCUGUGAUGCUCCUAAAUGCGCUGGGCUGCACGCGCAAUACACUGACUCCGACAGCGAGCUCCUGGUCCGAAGGUACCGGGGAAACUUUGAGCCGGAGUCGUGCUGGGGAUUGAUGCUUGAAAUUAUUCUCCAUGAACGAGGAAUGUCUUGUAGGCGCGUUUCAUCAGAACGCACCGAAUACGUCCCUGGUUCUUGUACACACCGCCCGUCGUUGCCUGUAAUGGGUUGUGAGUAGGUCGUUCGUUGCCAAAAUUGGGCAAUACUCGCAACCUAGAAGAGGCAAAAGUCGUAACAAGGUUGCUGUAGGUGAACCUGCAGAAGGAUCA
rnacentral:rRNA from 1 species